UUCAUCCUCUGCAUCCCCUCAGCAUAAUGAAAAAGAAGCAUCUCAGUCCCAAAGCAAACCGGGAAGCACAAAAGAAAAUGGAGAAGUGAGUGAAAAAUGCGAAGCUUCAGUUUCUGCUGAUUCUCAGGGUCAAGAUGAAAAUGAUGAAUCAGGUCCUGAUUUGGCAUCCAAUGAUAACACAAAUGAAAAUGUCAAACGAAGAAGAAGACGUACUAAACAAGUUGUAUCUUCUGAUUCUGAUUCUGAUUUAGAUACGGAGGAUCUUUCUAGGGAUGACUUGGUGAAACUAG
rnacentral:misc_RNA from 1 species